UGACCAAAGAUUUAUCGGUGUAAGAUGGACUUGCGUCUGAUUAGCUAGUUGGUGAGAUAAAAGCCCACCAAGGCGACGAUCAGUAGCCGGCUUGAGAGAGUGUACGGCCACAUUGGGACUGAGACACGGCCCAAACUCCUACGGGAGGCAGCAGUGGGGAAUUUUGCACAAUGGGGGAAACCCUGAUGCAGCGACGCCGCGUGAUUUAGAAGGCCUUCGGGUUGUAAAAAUCUUUUUUAUGGGAUGAAAAUGACAGUACCAUAAGAAUAAGGUCCGGCUAAAUACGUGCCAGCAGCCGCGGUAAUACGUAUGGACCGAGCGUUGUCCGGAAUCAUUGGGCGUAAAGGGUACGUAGGCGGCCUAGUAAGUUAGAAGUGAAAUAAUAUAGCUCAACUAUAUAAAGCUUUUAAAACUGUUAGGCUUGAGAGAUGAAAGGGAAAGUGGAAUUCCUAGUGUAGCGGUGAAAUGCGCAGAUAUUAGGAAGAAUACCGGUGGCGAAGGCGACUUUCUGGUCAUCAUCUGACGCUGAGGUACGAAAGCGUGGGUAGCAAACAGGAUUAGAUACCCUGGUAGUCCACGCUGUAAACGAUGAGUGUUAGGUUCUUGGAAUAAUCUGGGAGCCGCAGCUAACGCAUUAAACACUCCGCCUGGGGAGUACGCACGCAAGUGUGAAACCUGUAUUACAGGUGGUGCAUGGUUGUCGUCAGCUCGUGUCGUGAGAUGUUGGGUUAAGUCCCAUAACGAGCGCAACCCCUAUCGUUAGUUACCAUCAUUAAGUUGGGGACUCUAGCGAUACUGCCGGUGAUAAACCGGAGGAAGGUGGGGACGACGUCAAAUCAUCAUGCCCUUUAUGACUUGGGCUACACACGUGCUACAAUGGCAGAUACAGAGGGCAGCGAAAGAGCGAUCUGAAGCGAAACUCACAAAGUCUGUCCCAGUUCGGAUUGUACUCUGCAACUCGAGUACAUGAAGUUGGAGUUGCUAGUAAUCGCGAAUCAGAAUGUCGCGGUGAAUGCGUUCCCGGGUCUUGUACACACCGCCCGUCACACCAUGGGAGUUGGCAAUACCCGAAGCCUGUGAGCGAACCUUUAUGGACGCAGCAGUCGAAGGUAGGGUCAGUAACUGGGGUGAAGUCGUAACAAGGUAGCCGUAUCGGAAGGUGCGGCUGGAUCACCUCCUUU
rnacentral:rRNA from 1 species